CUUUUCCUCUAAGUUUGGUGUCAUCAGUGAACUUGGCCAGUCCACUUCUGACACCAAUGUCCACAUCAAUAAUGAAGAUGUUGACAAGGAUAGGCCCAAAGAUGGAGCCUUGGAGGACUGCACUGGUCACGGUGCACCACAGCGAUUGACUUCCGUUAACUACCACUCUCUGGGACUGCUGAAAAACUGA